GAUUGAACGCUGGCGGCAUGCUUAACACAUGCAAGUCGAACGGCAGCGCGGGGAGCUUGCUCCCUGGCGGCGAGUGGCGGACGGGUGAGUAACGCGUGGGAAUCUGCCCAGUAGUGGGGGACAACCCGAGGAAACUCGGGCUAAUACCGCAUACGCCCUACGGGGGGAAGCAGGGGGGAUCUUCGGACCUCGCACUAUUGGAUGAGCCCGGGUCGGAUUAGCUUGUUGGUGGGGUAAAGGCCCACCAAGGCGACGAUCCGUAGCUGGUCUGAGAGGACGAUCAGCCACACUGGGACUGAGAUACGGCCCAGACUCCUACGGGAGGCAGCAGUGGGGAAUAUUGGACAAUGGGCGCAAGCCUAAUCCAGCAAUACCGCGUGUGUGAAGAAGGCCUCAGGGUUGUAAAGCACUUUUAUUUGGGAAGAAGGGUUAGUAGUUAAUACGCCAUGGCAAUUGACGGCAACUCACGAAUAAGCACCGGCUAACUACGUGCCAGCAGCUGCGGUAAUACGGAGGGUGCAAGCGUUAAUCGGAAUUACUGGGCGUAAAGCGUGCGCAGGCGGCUUGCUAAGUCGGAUGUGAAAGCCCCGGGCUUAACCUGGGAAUUGCAUUCGAUACUGGCUGGCUAGAGUCUGGUAGAGGUAAGCGGAAUUCCGGGUGUAGCGGUGAAAUGCGUAGAUAUCCGGAGGAACAUCAGUGGCGAAGGCGGCUUACUGGACCAAGACUGACGCUCAGGCACGAAAGCGUGGGUAGCAAACAGGAUUAGAUACCCUGGUAGUCCACGCCCUAAACGAUGUCAACUAGAGACGUUGGGUUCAUUAAGGAACUUAGUGUCGAAGCUAACGCGUUAAGUUGACCGCCUGGGGAUUACGGCCGCAAGGUUGAAACUCAAAGGAAUUGACGGGGGCCCGCACAAGCGGUGGAGCAUGUGGUUUAAUUCGAUGCAACGCGAAGAACCUUACCAGCCCUUGACAUCCUCGGAACUUGGCAGAGAUGCCUUGGUGCCUUCGGGAAUCGAGUGACAGGUGCUGCAUGGCUGUCGUCAGCUCGUGUCGUGAGAUGUUGGGUUAAGUCCCGCAACGAGCGCAACCCUUGUCCCUAGUUGCCAGCACUUCGGGUGGGAACUCUAGGGAGACUGCCGGUGAUAAACCGGAGGAAGGUGGGGAUGACGUCAAGUCAUCAUGGCCCUCAUGGGCUGGGCUACACACGUGCUACAAUGGUCGGUACAGAGGGCCGCGAUCCCGCGAGGGGGAGCCAAUCCCACAAAGCCGAUCUUAGUCCGGAUCGCAGUCUGCAACUCGACUGCGUGAAGUUGGAAUCGCUAGUAAUCGCGAAUCAGCAAUGUCGCGGUGAAUACGUUCCCGGGCCUUGUACACCCGCCCGUCACACCAUGGAAGUUGGCUGCACCAGAAGCAGGUAGCUUAACCUUCGGGAGAGCGCUUGCCACGGUGUGGUCAAUGACUGGGGUGAAGUCG
rnacentral:rRNA from 1 species